UAGGGAAUCUUCCGCAAUGGACGCAAGUCUGACGGAGCAACGCCGCGUGAGUGAAGAAGGAUUUCGGUUCGUAAAACUCCGUUGUUAGAGAAGAACAGCGCAUAGAGUAACUGUUAUGCGUGUGACGGUAUCUAACCAGAAAGCCACGGCUAACUACGUGCCAGCAGCCGCGGUAAUACGUAGGUGGCAAGCGUUGUCCGGAUUUAUUGGGCGUAAAGCGAGCGCAGGCGGUCAAUUAAGUCUGAUGUGAAAGCCCCCGGCUCAACCGGGGAGGGUCAUUGGAAACUGGUUGACUUGAGUGCAGAAGAGGAGAGUGGAAUUCCAUGUGUAGCGGUGAAAUGCGUAGAUAUAUGGAGGAACACCAGUGGCGAAGGCGACUCUCUGGUCUGUAACUGACGCUGAGGCUCGAAAGCGUGGGUAGCAAACAGG
rnacentral:rRNA from 1 species